rnacentral:rRNA from 1 species
CAACUCGCCUGCAUGAAGUUGGAAUUGCUAGUAAUCGCGAAUCAGAAUGUCGCGGUGAAUACGUUCCCGGGCCUUGUACACACCGCCCGUCACACCAUGAGAGUCGAUAACACCCGAAGCCUGUGAGCUAACCGCAAGGGGGCAGCAGUCGAAGGUGGGGUUNAUGAUUGGGGUGAAGUCGUAACAAGGUAGC